rnacentral:rRNA from 1 species
GACGUAGGAUGCGAGCGUUGUCCGGAUUUAUUGGGCGUAAAGAGUUCGUAGGUGGUUUGUUAAGUCCGGUGUUAAAGAUCGGGGCUCAACCCCGGGAGUGCAUUGGAUACUGGCAGACUGGAGUGCAGCAGAGGCAAGCGGAAUUCCCAGUGUAGCGGUGAAAUGCGUAGAUAUUGGGAAGAACACCAGUGGCGUAAGCGGCUUGCUGGGCUGUAACUGACGCUGAGGAACGAAAGCCAGGGGAGCGAAUGGG